rnacentral:rRNA from 1 species
AUACCGCAUAAUGUCGCAAGACCAAAGUGGGGGACCUUCGGGCCUCAUGCCAUCAGAUGUGCCCAGAUGGGAUUAGCUAGUAGGUGGGGUAACGGCUCACCUAGGCGACGAUCCCUAGCUGGUCUGAGAGGAUGACCAGCCACACUGGAACUGAGACACGGUCCAGACUCCUACGGGAGGCAGCAGUGGGGAAUAUUGCACAAUGGGCGCAAGCCUGAUGCAGCCAUGCCGCGUGUGUGAAGAAGGCCUUCGGGUUGUAAAGCACUUUCAGCGGGGAGGAAGGCGUUGAGGUUAAUAACCUUGGCGAUUGACGUUACCCGCAGAAGAAGCACCGGCUAACUCCGUGCCAGCAGCCGCGGUAAUACGGAGGGUGCGAGCGUUAAUCGGAAUUACUGGGCGUAAAGCGCACGCAGGCGGUCUGUCAAGUCGGAUGUGAAAUCCCCGGGCUCAACCUGGGAACUGCAUUCGAAACUGGCAGGCUAGAGUCUUGUAGAGGGGGGUAGAAUUCCAGGUGUAGCGGUGAAAUGCGUAGAGAUCUGGAGGAAUACCGGUGGCGAAGGCGGCCCCCUGGACAAAGACUGACGCUCAGGUGCGAAAGCGUGGGGAGCAAACAGGAUUAGAUACCCUGGUAGUCCACGCCGUAAACGAUGUCGAUUUGGAGGUUGUGCCCUUGAGGCGUGGCUUCCGGAGCUAACGCGUUAAAUCGACCGCCUGGGGAGUACGGCCGCAAGGUUAAAACUCAAAUGAAUUGACGGGGGCCCGCACAAGCGGUGGAGCAUGUGGUUUAAUUCGAUGCAACGCGAAGAACCUUACCUGGUCUUGACAUCCACAGAACUUUCCAGAGAUGGAUUGGUGCCUUCGGGAACUGUGAGACAGGUGCUGCAUGGCUGUCGUCAGCUCGUGUUGUGAAAUGUUGGGUUAAGUCCCGCAACGAGCGCAACCCUUAUCCUUUGUUGCCAGCGGUUCGGCCGGGAACUCAAAGGAGACUGCCAGUGAUAAACUGGAGGAAGGUGGGGAUGACGUCAAGUCAUCAUGGCCCUUACGACCAGGGCUACACACGUGCUACAAUGGCAUAUACAAAGAGAAGCGACCUCGCGAGAGCAAGCGGACCUCAUAAAGUAUGUCGUAGUCCGGA